rnacentral:lncRNA from 1 species
CCCUUCUUGUCCUUCUUGGAGCGGUUAUAUGAUUCAUCAUCAUCACCAUCAUCCGUACUAGGUGAUAGCUCACUUGAUGAUGCAUCAUACACCUCCUUUUCUUUCUUCUUCUCUUCUACUUUCUUUGCUGCCCUUCUUUUGGCUCGCUCUUCUCUUUUGGCUUUUCUUUCUUCUUUUCUCUUCUUCUUGGCAGCUAGCUUUUCAUCUUCUUUUUUUUUGCUUUAGCUUCUCUUCUUGCUUGCCUCCUUUGCCUUCUCUCGGGGUCGGUGGUCAUACCACCAUCAGGCUUGAGGGUGGAGUUGCUGGCUGUUGAGACUGAUAGCUCACUGCUAUCACUCUCAACCAGCACAUCCUCAGCUUGUGCAGCUGGAAUGGACUUACCCUUCGCCCCCGAGCUUCCCACAACUUCCAUACUUCACGCGGUGAAGCGUAUACGAAGCAACCAAGCUCCGAUACCACUUGUAGGAUCUCUGGACGUACAGGAAGUGGCCUAGAGGGGGGUGAAUAGGCCUGUUCAAACUUUUUCAGCAGAGUUUAUCAGUCAC